rnacentral:rRNA from 1 species
CCUACGGGUGGCUGCAGUGGGGAAUCUUGCGCAAUGGGCGAAAGCCUGACGCAGCCAUGCCGCGUGAAUGAUGAAGGUCUUAGGAUUGUAAAAUUCUUUCACCGGGGACGAUAAUGACGGUACCCGGAGAAUAAGCCCCGGCUAACUUCGUGCCAGCAGCCGCGGUAAUACGAAGGGGGCUAGCGUUGCUCGGAAUUACUGGGCGUAAAGGGCGCGUAGGCGGACAUUUAAGUCAGGGGUGAAAUCCCAGAGCUCAACUCUGGAACUGCCUUUGAUACUGAGUGUAUUGAGUGUGAGAGAGGUAUGGGGAACGCCGAGCGUAGAGGUGAGAUUCGUAUAUAUUCGGAAGCACGCCAGUGGCGAAGGCGACAUACUGGCUCAUUACUGACGCUGAGGCGCGAAAGCGUGGGGAGCAAACAGUAUUAGAUACCCUUGUAGUC